CGCAGGUUGCGAACAUUUUGCUGAAUCUCUCCUGAGGAGGGCUCACGAUUAUCUUCGAAAGGUUGGAAAGGGACAGCGGCACGACCAUCGUAUCGAGUUAUCCUUCGUGACUUGCGAUCACGAAAGUGUACGGUGAGUUUCGGGAAAUGACGAAUUUCCGGUUCGUCCGAGAAUUCACUUGUCUUAAUCUGAGGAUCACAGACUCGAUCAUUUCGUUCGUGACUACCCAGCCAAUAAGAAGUGUGCGCGUUUGUAACUUGUUCGUUGUCCAUAGCAAAUUGUACGAAGUGUGCGUCGUGUAGGAAUUGUGUGCGAAGUAGCUUAGCAACAAUUAAGAACAGCCGUAAGGCUGUUUCAUUCGCAGCGAAACUACCCGCACCCAACCGCGCAGACUCCCCCAACGAACGGAAACCUUCCCGGCCAACCGUCAACCGGCCGGAAGUCGGACGAUCCGUCAACACAUCGUCCGAGUGAGGCGCAGGGGACCUCAUUGCCAGCUUUCGCAGAGCGAUCGGCCCGUCAAACAGACUGCGACGGCCGCGGCCGUCUCAACCGCCAUUGCAUCACCAACCUUUUGGCGACAAUGCGCGAUUCGCCAUUCAGCGUAGUGGCCAUUGCAGAUCGCCGUUGAACACGCUCGUCUUGGACGGGGCACUGACCUGGGCCACAGGUCAACGACAUCGGUCAAGUAAGCCAGCGAAGUCGGUGAGUCCAAUCAAUACAUUUUUUGUGGAGGGGGGCGUCCGCUGAGGGCGCCUCGGAGUGUUUUUUGCCAGUCACAGACUGAAGACGAUGUGCCGCUAAGGCCUCGUAGCGAAGUUGAGAUCGUCGUGCGUGCGUGAAGAAUUGCCGCCGCCGCGGAUCCGGUUGUUACACCAGGAGCGCAGACUAGCCCGCAGAUGCGCCGCCAAGGGUCGUGACGUCACACACAUAGAACGCGUAGAGCACAUGAGCACGUUAGACAGAUAAGAAGAGAGAACUAGGGAGAGAAAUCGCACACAAGAUAGGAAGUUAGAGAGAACGAACACAGACACACAACAUUAUGAAUAAAUGCUAGCAAUAAAUAUUGUAAUAUAAACCGCCCAAUAUAUUCGUUUGAACCCCACUAUGUAGUGUUAAGUUGAAUAAACGUCCCAUUAUGUGUUCUAGUAAG